UUUCUUCUAUAAGUUUCCUCUUCUUUUUUUUUUGCCUUUUAUGAAAUAUUUCCUGUUGGCUCUGCUGGGAGGACAUAACAAUUUGUUUGCAUUUUCUCUUACUGUCAUUUUGCACUGACCACAAGUUUAUUUCCUGAAUAUUUGUCUCCGAACAGUAUUGAUUUUUCUGUCAUUUGUGUUGUCUUUAGUUUUGCAACAAAAUUACUCUUCCAAUAAAUGCAAUGAAAUAAUUACAUAGUUAUAGCUGAGUGAAAGUGGUGAACUAGAUAGUUGGGUUUUUUUUCUGUGGAACAGUUAGACUAGGAUUCUUAAGUCGUCCCUUAAAUUUUAAAGAUGAAUUAAAUUAUAAAUUAUUACAGAAACUUCAGAAUUUUUUUUCUGAAGUUUCUGUAAUAAUUUACCUUUAUUCUUUAGCUCAGAAAUUUUUUAUUUUUAUUUUCAUGUCUUCGUACUUCUAGACUUCUGUGGUAACUAGCCUUUGCAUCUUUUCUGCAAAUAUCUGUCCUUACUUGUCCAUAUUUGUCUCUUCCGUUCCAUCUUGAUUUUUGCAUUCCCAUUAAUUUCAGCAGUUUGCUUUAAAACUUUGAGACAAAAGUGAUUUUUGACUUUGAAACUCAAUCUUAAAUUAGUUGAAGUCCUUCUCCAUAGCUAUGAAGAACUGAGGGUGCAUUCACACCAGCCUAGGAUUAGAGACCUGAUUCAGACUCUAAUCAACUUGUCUAGGAAGUCUGAUUUGUUUGGGAGGUGAGAAUGCAAAUUUGAAUUCCAAAACGGACUAAAAAAGCGAACUCCAAUCCGCCUAACCACCUCGGUCUCGGUCCAGUUGAAGCAAACUCUGAAACGGUUGGAAGGCAGUGAGAAUGCAACGUUCCAAAAGCAGGAAGUUAGCUACAGUGCAGGGCAUUCUGGACAACGAAGAUGUUGUGUCGGUUGUCAUGUCAACGGGUCUGCAUGCCGACACAGAAAGCGAGGACAAUAUGAAUAUAAAUGGUUUAAAGUUGUUUUACAACUGUUAUCAGCUUACUGUAUUUCCCUUUGCUGUAACGCACUGCAGCUGCUGUAAUUUUUAAACCUUUAAUAAAUGACAAAAAAGGGACUAAUUUGCCUUGUUUGUUUGAACAUAAUCAUCAAAUAGGAUGACAUAUUUCAUAUGUGUCAUAUAUAAAGUAUAUGAGUCAUGGUUUGUUACAUUUUGACAAACAAAAUAAAUGAAAUUAACAGCGGCAACUAUGUAAUUAUUCACCAAUAAAAAAGAGCAAUUUGCUUAAAAUCU